AGCGGCAGACGGCUGAGUAAUACAUAGGAAUCUUCCCCAGAGUGGAACAUAGCUCACCGAAGGGUGGGGUAAUUUUCCAUAACAUCUCCGGAUAAAAGCAGUAAUGCGCUUUGGGAUGAGCCUGUGUCCCAUCAGGUAGUUGGUGGGGUAAUGGCCCACCAAGCCUACGACGGGUAGCUGGUCUAAGAGGAUGGUCAGCCAGAGAGGGACUGAGACACGGCCCUCACUCCUACGGGAGGCAGCAAUCAGGAAUCGUCGGCAAUGGGCGCAAGCCUGACCGCGCGACACCGCGUGUAGGAUGAAGGUUCAAAAGAUCGUAAACUACUGUGGUAGAGGAAGAGAAAGGACGGUACUCUACUAGAGAGGGGCCGCUAACUGCGUGCCA
rnacentral:rRNA from 1 species